GAUCGGCCACAUGGGACUGAGACACGGCCCAAACUCUACGGGAGGCAGCAGUAGGGAAUCUUCGGCAAUGGACGAAAGUCUGACCGAGCAACGCCGCGUGAGUGAAGAAGGUUUUCGGAUCGUAAAACUCUGUUGUUAGAGAAGAACAAGGAUGAGAGUAACUGUUCAUCCCUUGACGGUAUCUAACCAGAAAGCCACGGCUAACUACGUGCCAGCAGCCGCGGUAAUACGUAGGUGGCAAGCGUUGUCCGGAUUUAUUGGGCGUAAAGCGAGCGCAGGCGGUUUCUUAAGUCUGAUGUGAAAGCCCCCGGCUCAACCGGGGAGGGUCAUUGGAAACUGGGAGACUUGAGUGCAGAAGAGGAGAGUGGAAUUCCAUGUGUAGCGGUGAAAUGCGUAGAUAUAUGGAGGAACACCAGUGGCGAAGGCGGCUCUCUGGUCUGUAACUGACGCUGAGGCUCGAAAGCGUGGGGAGCAAACAGGAUUAGAUACCCUGGUAGUCCACGCCGUAAACGAUGAGUGCUAAGUGUUGGAGGGUUUCCGCCCUUCAGUGCUGCAGCUAACGCAUUAAGCACUCCGCCUGGGGAGUACGACCGCAAG
rnacentral:rRNA from 1 species